GUAACGUGUGAAGACAGCCCUGUAGUCUUCGCUUCUCCCGCGCAUUUCCAGGAAAAGUGGAAAUUUUGAUGGUUCGGAGCGGACCUAUGCGGGUUGGAUAUGGGAGACCCGACUUAAUGGCUUUAAGAGAGCUACCCACACGGCCUUUGGGGCUCAUCCUCACGUCAACAAAAAUGUAACCGGAGCGGUAUGGUAAACAGCUUGCACCCUGACAAAAAGGGUGCUGCUGUUGAAGAGCUUUCAACCACUCUGGGUGAUGCCAACGAUACAUCUUGCUAAAGUGGUAAUUAUGCUUCUGGACCUUUUCCUGGAAAACAUAUAAAAUAUGUGCUCUCUGACAAGAUUUGCAGUGAAAAACAGUAAGAAUCCUAGUAGCCCAGGAGGAUUUUACUCGUAACAAUUUCUUCUUUCCAAGUUGGAUUCUGAAUCAUUCUUGCCUACUGUCGUGAUCAACAUUUUGGCACUGAAACAAAGCAAAAGAAAAAAGAAAAAGAGAAAGAAAAAGAAAAACAAUGCCAAAACAAAAAACAAAGCAACAAACAAAAGACUGAAUGACCUGAUCUUCAAGGAGAAAGGAGAUAAAGCUGCUGAUUUUCAGGGAUAUUUUCAGCUUCGAAUUUCAGAGAUACAAAUGACAAGACAGACGUGGAUAAUCUACUAGAAGAUGCUACUGAGGUAGGAGACCCAGACUAGGGAGAAAAUGGAGGGAGCAGCUUAGAUAGGGGGAGUGGUGACCAUGCAUGAAGAGGGAGUUAUUUCUCAGCUUCCUCUGUGAUCAGUGCAGAUACACCUAAAUGCUCCGGGUAUUUGUUCCAGUUGAUACUGGUUGGGCAUGGCAAAUCCUUUGUAUUAACAUGACAGUGGCAUGUACUGUCAAAGCAUUGAUUUUAUGAGGACUCUAGAGAGACGUGACCAGGUAUGUUGGUUAGAAGCCAAAUACUGCCUCUAUUUAUCAUCUUCUUUAUCCUUCUCUUCCUUAAGAAU